GACGAACGCUGGCGGCGUGCCUAAUACAUGCAAGUCGAGCGAGCUUGCCUAGAUGAAUUUGGUGCUUGCACCAAAUGAAACUAGAUACAAGCGAGCGGCGGACGGGUGAGUAACACGUGGGUAACCUGCCCAAGAGACUGGGAUAACACCUGGAAACAGAUGCUAAUACCGGAUAACAACACUAGACGCAUGUCUAGAGUUUAAAAGAUGGUUCUGCUAUCACUCUUGGAUGGACCUGCGGUGCAUUAGCUAGUUGGUAAGGUAACGGCUUACCAAGGCAAUGAUGCAUAGCCGAGUUGAGAGACUGAUCGGCCACAUUGGGACUGAGACACGGCCCAAACUCCUACGGGAGGCAGCAGUAGGGAAUCUUCCACAAUGGACGCAAGUCUGAUGGAGCAACGCCGCGUGAGUGAAGAAGGGUUUCGGCUCGUAAAGCUCUGUUGGUAGUGAAGAAAGAUAGAGGUAGUAACUGGCCUUUAUUUGACGGUAAUUACUUAGAAAGUCACGGCUAACUACGUGCCAGCAGCCGCGGUAAUACGUAGGUGGCAAGCGUUGUCCGGAUUUAUUGGGCGUAAAGCGAGUGCAGGCGGUUCAAUAAGUCUGAUGUGAAAGCCUUCGGCUCAACCGGAGAAUUACAUCAGAAACUGUUGAACUUGAGUGCAGAAGAGGAGAGUGGAACUCCAUGUGUAGCGGUGGAAUGCGUAGAUAUAUGGAAGAACACCAGUGGCGAAGGCGGCUCUCUGGUCUGCAACUGACGCUGAGGCUCGAAAGCAUGGGUAGCGAACAGG
rnacentral:rRNA from 1 species